rnacentral:rRNA from 1 species
UACGGAGGAUGCAAGCGUUCUCCGGAAUGAUUGGGCGUAAAGCGUCCGCAGGUGGCUGUGUAAGUCUGCUGUUAAAGAGUGAGGCUCAACCUCAUAAAAGCAGUGGAAACUACACAGCUAGAGUGCGUUCGGGGCAGAGGGAAUUCCUGGUGUAGCGGUGAAAUGCGUAGAGAUCAGGAAGAACACCGGUGGCGAAGGCGCUCUGCUAGGCCGCAACUGACACUGAGGGACGAAAGCUAGGGGAGCGAAUGGG